rnacentral:rRNA from 1 species
CUGAUGCAGCACGCCGCGUGCGGGAUGACGGCCUUCGGGUUGUAAACCGCUUUCGCCUGUGACGAAGCGUGAGUGACGGUAAUGGGUAAAGAAGCACCGGCUAACUACGUGCCAGCAGCCGCGGUGAUACGUAGGGUGCGAGCGUUGUCCGGAUUUAUUGGGCGUAAAGGGCUCGUAGGUGGUUGAUCGCGUCGGAAGUGUAAUCUUGGGGCUUAACCCUGAGCGUGCUUUCGAUACGGGUUGACUUGAGGAAGGUAGGGGAGAAUGGAAUUCCUGGUGGAGCGGUGGAAUGCGCAGAUAUCAGGAGGAACACCAGUGGCGAAGGCGGUUCUCUGGGCCUUUCCUGACGCUGAGGAGCGAAAGCGUGGGGAGCGAACA